rnacentral:lncRNA from 1 species
AUAAUCAGCAGUCAUUACUCCAGAGUCUCUGGACUCUUUGAUACUCUUGCUGUGAGCAGAAUGUGCUUCAACAUGCUGUGUUCCACUCAUUGAGAAAAUGAAAGAUUUGAAGAGACUGUGGAUUAAUGAUCUCCAGUUGGCCAGUUUCACUUGUGUAGGUAACAGCAGAUCAUCAAUGAAGAUAUUAAACAGGACCAGCACUAAUACUGACCCCUGGAGAACACCAUUUGUGACUGGUCACCAGCUAGAUUUAACUCCAUUCACCACCACACUCUGGGUCCAGCCCUCCAGCCGGUUCUCUACCCAGUGAAGACUGUACCUGUUCAAGCCAUGGACUGCCAUCUUUUCCAGGAGAAUGCUGUGGGACACAAUGUCAAAGGCUUUAUUCAUGUCUAGGUGGACUACAUCCAUAGCUUUUCCCUCAUCUACUAGGGAAUUUUUGUAGUCA